AUAUAUAUAUAUAUAUGUACAUAUACGAUAUAUAUGUAUAUAUCGCGUCACGAGUCCGUAACGUAAUCCAUAUGGCUCUAUUUUAAAAACUUGAACAGAAACUCGGUGCCCCUUUAACCCGCAUUUUCCUUUAUCAAAAUAAUAUGAGAAGCGAUAAGCGACUGUCGCAACCGCUGGAACCGCACAUGACGUCGUCGUCAAUGGGUAACAAGUUUGCGAGUAGUUGCACGAGCUCGUGGUGACUUUGCCAGAACGAGUGCGCAGUAACGCGAUGUAAGAAGUGGCUAGGAGGUAGAGAGGGAGAGGGUGUGUUCGAGAAAGAAACCCGAGGAACGAGGGCGUAUAAGCAGGGGGAGGUGGCAGGUUUAAGGAAAGGUGGAAGAGAAGGAGAAGUUGGUCACAACCGUGAGAACAAAGGGGCGAAAAUAAGUGCCCUUUUUGGAGGGUGAUCGAGGGUGAGGAGCAAGAAAGAGGAAGACGAAUCGGGGGAAUGCGUUUGUGUAGGUUUCGAAGGAGAUAAAAAGAGUGGAUGGCUGUUGGGAGGAAAGAGAAAGAAGUCAGGCGAUUCGUUCCUUGCGGGUUAAGGAAAGAGUGGGAGAAUCGGAGCGAGCGAGCGAGAGAGAAAGAGCGAGAGCGAUAAGAGAGGAAAACAGAUAGAGAGAGAGAGAGAAACUACAAAAGUGUGAGUGCGAGAGAGGGAGAAACGAGAAGGACGAAACGCGCAGGAUGGCGCGAGGGAGUAGAGGGUGUUGGGGAGUGAGGGAAGGAAGGAGUGCGUGACGAGGAGGGUGAGAAGGUGGGGGGGAUAUAAAGAGAGGGUGAAGGGUGUAGUGGGGACUGUUGGGUAGGUGGCGGUGGUAGGAUUGCGGGAGGUUGUGCGCGGCUCGACUUCGGUGGUUCGGUUGAACGAGGGCGCGCAAACGGGCGGGUGUCGCGAGCGUUGCAAAGCGGUGAAGGGUACCACGAACGGAAAGCACGGUCGUGGCGCUAGGCGGGCGUAGGCGAGGUUCCGUGACGGCCGUUCGGUGGCGCAGCAGGAAUUCCCAGCACGGCAGGCACCGGGUUGGUCAGCUACGUGGUGUUCGUGCGCCUCUCUCUCUAUCGGUGUGUAUAUGCGCGAUUUGCCCCGAGUCCGCGCCUCGACUUGAUGACAUGGCGUCCUAGCGCUGCACGGGCCAAGUCGCACGUCCUCGGUGGAGAGGCUCUCACCCCGUCGUCGAAUCAACUGCAUCCCAGGAUGCCAAGAAUCGAGCUGUUCCGGAACUCGGGUGUCAUCGGGAAAAACCGGGCGGUGUCGAUAAGCUGAAAAAUGUACCGUGCGCUUCGAGCUCGUUUCGUCAAACCAGGUAGGGUCGUUGCCAUCGUGCCUACCCUACGAAUCAAUAUUACCAGUGCGGAGAAGAGGACGCCUCUUUCUCUCUCAUACUUUCUCAACGCUUUCUCCCUCUUUAUUUGUGCACCUAUCUUUCACCUUUCGCUCUCUUGCUCUAUUCUUCCCUCGUUUCUUUAGUUUCAUUAUCCGUGUCCGUCGUGUGAUCGUCGUCAUUGUUAUUGUCGUCUUCGUCGUGGUCGCCGUUGCCGUCGUCAUCGUCAUCGUCGUCGUCGUCGUCGUCGUCGUCGUCGUCCUCGUUGUCAUCAUCGUUACACUAGUUGCUGCUGUGUGUGGUGUAAAUUCGAAUCAAGAAUAUUUGCCAGUGCUUCGUAUGUUUAUACGCUCGUAAUUGUGUACGUGUGCGUUCUUUGUGCGUGUGUGCGCACGCCAUAGUGCGAUAUUGUGUCUGUAUGUGUGCGUGCGUGUACGUGUGGUGUGCCGUGUGCGAGUGUGCUCGCGCGUGUGUGUGUGUGUAUAUAUAUAUAUGUACGUAGAAAGGGUUAACACAAUAAGAGUAACAGAAAAAGGAAAUGUUCUCGGGGUAAAAAGAGAGAGGUUAGUUUCACAGUUUCUUGGAAAAACAUGGAAAAAAAAAAUGAAGCACGCAUAAGGAGGAGGAUACUACGUGGCUUAUCGACACAUCGACGACAGCGUGCCUCUCGACGUGGAUUUUCGCUCGGCGAGAGAGGGUUGCGUAAAUCUUCCCUCCCUCCUCCUUCCCUCGUCUCUUGGAAUCACUCUGUCUUCCUCGUGUAUUUCGUCUCUCUCGCUCUUUCCCCCCUCUCUAUCUUUUUCUCUCUUGAACGUGUGUCGCGGUCGGGUAUGGCGCUGCCCAUAGGCGCCGAUACGCCCCGGGGUGUCGAGGCUGACUCGACUCGAGUCGAGUCGUUCGUUCGUUCGUUCGUCCAUCCGCCGACCAUCCUCCCCCUUGUUGUGUUCAUUGAGCCGCUUGUUCCCCAGUAUGCCUCUGCAGUUGCUUCCCUCGUGAGGGAGCGUCAUUGUUACUGUCGAUCGUGUUCAUUUCCUCUUCGUGAUUUUUCCCCUGUCUAUAUUGUAUUUUCUUAUUUGGCUAAUAUUAGCCUUCGACUUACAUUGCGAUCUUUACCUCGUACCAUAACAGGUGAGUUGUAUACACAUACCUUACUUGUCUCUGUAAACGCGCGAGAUCGGAUCAGUGCCACAGCCUCGAGUUGAAGCACGUGUCAGAACGUGCCUUUCGGUCGGCAGUGUCACCACGCGCUCGUUAAUUAAUCUCUUCGUUCCUAUAUCGUAGUGUGGAAAAUUAUGUAACUUGUGCUACAUCGGGGUGGAUAAAAAAA